AUGCCGCCGCUCCUCGUCCGGCACCCGGUACUUAUCUUCAUUAUCCCCGCCAUGCUCCUUGCCCUCCUCGGGCUCCCACCAACUGCUACGCUCGCCACCAGGUUCUACUCGUUCGACCUGAUGCGCGAGUACCCUCACGAUCCGGAGUCCUUCACAGAGGGCCUCUUGUAUGGAGGAAAUGACACUCUUUUCGAGUCCACUGGCCUUUUUGGCAAGUCAUCCGUGCGAAAGGUUGAUCUUCAGACAGGAAAGGUUUUAGUUCGGCACCAAAUGGACGAGAAAAUGUUUGGAGAAGGUCUAACACUUCUCGGCGAUAGAUUGUUUCAACUUACUUGGUUGACGAAUGUUGGAUUUACGUACGAUCGACACAACUUUAGUAAAGAAAGGGGAAUGCAUCAUGUAUAA
rnacentral:rRNA from 1 species